rnacentral:rRNA from 1 species
CCUACGGGUGGCAGCAGUAGGGAAUAUUGCGCAAUGGGCGCAAGCCUGACGCAGCAACGCCGCGUGAAGGAAGAAGGCUUUCGGGUUGUAAACUUCUUUUGUCAGGGAAGAGUAGAAGACGGUACCUGUCGAAUAAGCCACGGCUAACUACGUGCCAGCAGCCGCGGUAAUACGUAGGGGGCAAGCGUUGUCCGGAUUUACUGGGUGUAAAGGGCGUGUAGGCGGGUUGACAAGUCAGAUGUGAAAUCCUGCGGCUUAACCGUAGAACUGCAUUUGAAACUGUUGAUCUGGAGUAGGGGAGAGGCAGACGGAAUUCCUAGUGUAGCGGUGAAAUGCGUAGAGAUUAGGAGGAACACCAGUGGCGAAGGCGGUCUGCUGGACAGCAACUGACGCUGAGGCGCGAAAGCGUGGGGAGCAAACAGGAUUAGAUACCCUUGUAGUC